rnacentral:rRNA from 1 species
GUUGGUGGGGUAAUGGCCUACCAAGGCUAAGACGGCUAGGGGGCGUGAGAGCGCGACCCCCCACAAUGGAACUGAGACACGGUCCAUACUCCUACGGGAGGCAGCAGUGAGGAAUAUUGCGCAAUGGGGGAAACCCUGACGCAGCAACGCCGCGUGAACGAUGAAGGCCUUCGGGUCGUAAAGUUCUUUUCUAAGGGAAGAUAGUGACGGUACCUUAGGAAUAAGUCCCGGCUAACUACGUGCCAGCAGCCGCGGUAAAACGUAGGGGGCGAGCGUUAUCCGGAUUUAUUGGGCGUAAAGCGCACGUAGGUGGCGCUGUAAGUUAGACGUGAAAGCUCUCGGCUCAACUGAGAGAGGUCGUUUAAAACUGCAGUGCUUGAGGUUAGAAGAGGAGAGCAGAAUUCCCGGUGUAGUGGUGGAAUGCGUAGAUAUCGGGAGGAAUACCAGUGGCGAAGGCGGCUCUCUAGUCUACACCUGACACUGAGGUGCGAAAGCGUGGGUAGCGAACGGGAUUAGAUACCCCGGUAGUCCACGCUGUAAACGAUGGAUACUAGGUGUAGGGGGUCAUUUAACCCCUCUGUGCCGAAGCAAACGCGUUAAGUAUCCCGCCUGGGGACUACGGCCGCAAGGUUAAAACUCAAAGGAAUUGACGGGGGCCCGCACAAGCCAGCGGAGCGUGUGGUUUAAUUCGAUGAUACGCGAAGAACCUUACCUGGGCUGAACUACGUGGUAGUAGUGAAGCGAAAGCGGAUCGACCCUUCGGGGAGCCUCGAUAGGUGCUGCAUGGCUGUCGUCAGCUCGUGUCGUGCGAUGUUGGGUUAAGUCCCGCAACGAGCGCAACCCUCGUCGCUAGUUACAAGUGUCUAGCGAGACUGCCGGUAUCAAACCGGACGAAGGUGGGGAUGACGUCAAGUCAGCAUGGUCUUUAUGUCCAGGGCUACACACACGCUACAAUGGUCGGUACAAUAGGUGCCCACACCGCGAGCUGGAGCUAAUCCUCAAAGCCGAUCUCAGUUCGGAUUGUAGUCUGCAACUCGACUACAUGAAG